AUGACUUAUGUUCUCUGUUGAAUGGGAAAGGUGGGGGUUAUUACAAAGACAAAAAUUUUCGGUGACAUGAAAUAAGUACCAAACACCCUUGCAGAAAGCUAACGGUUCCUUGUAGAGCUGCCUGAUGUGAUGGGAGCACAGCAAGCCUUCAAAGCAGUCAUUUAGUUUCUGCCUGGUCCUGCUUUCUUUUGUGUCUCUUCUUCCAUGUAAUCCAGUCUGCCCCUGGAACAGAAGCUGUCUGUGGUCAUUAAGCGAGUGCUUGCAGAAACUGGGCUGUUGACUCAGCAUUUGGCUAGAGAAUACGAGUCUUUUCAGUGAAAGCUUGGUUUCAUUUUUGUUAGGCCAGCAGAGAGUAGUGCCACAAUGGCUUUCCUGGUUGAAAGGAUUAAAAAAAUUUUUUGCUGACAUUUCAGUCUCUGAGUAUAAUGGUAGGGGUGUGUUUUCUACCUUUUCCUUGUACUUUCUGUCUUAAGUAGCCCAAAUAAGAACCUCCAGUAUCUGUGAUAGAAAAAGAUAAAAAUGAAAAUCCAAAUAGAUGAUGGUUGGUUGGAUGGAUGGAUGGAUGGAUGGAUGGAUGGAUGAAUGAAUAGGUAGAUUGAUAAGUAAGUAGGUAGAUAGGUAGGUAGGUAGAUAAAUAGGUAGGUACACAAGUAGGUAGGUGGAUAGAAUGAUUGCCUUUUAACUUUCCUUGAAGCUCUUCACUUCUUCCCUGUCCCAUUCCCUUUUUUUCCGGCCCUCCUUCAUAUACCUAUAUGUUAUUAUUAUUAGUGUCUUUAUAAACCAUCUUAUUUACAGGAGAAAACAGUCAACUGUUUUGUAACCUUAAUGCUGCAACAUUCCAGUUCCCACGUCAGAGCUGAUUUGCUGGAAAAGGCCUUCCAAGAACUGUGCUGGGAGGUCUGCAGGAGUGCUGACACAGAACUGUAAUCUCCUGCUGUAACAGUGCCUUCCCUGGAACCAUCCUGAGAGCCUGCCAAAGACUCUUCCUUCAGAAGAAUCGUUCUUCAGCAGAGUAUACAGCAAGGUGAAUUAUACUGAAUAUGAUACCACCUAGCAGUGCACUGAGCCCUUUCCCUAUGGCAUCUUACUGAACUGUCACUUGCACUUAUGAAAGUAAGUAGAGAUGCUAACUGAUGGUCUACCCAUUACUUUUCAUACUGUGAUAAAAUGUCUGACAAAACUAAGGAUGGGAGGGUUUAUAUUGGCUCACAGGCUAAGGGUACAGUCUAUUAUGGCAGGGAAUCAUGGUGGCAGUAAGCAGUUAGAAUCCUGAUGUCCCCAAA